ACCUGCAGCUCAUGGAGAAAGGAGCUAUAACCACACUUUGCAAUGGAAAUACCCCUUUCUUGACAACCAGAAGCUCUCUACAACUGCAAACCACCUCUCUCCAGUUUCCAUUGACAAUGAAGGUGAAUUGUUAUGAAGUGGGACCAUUUUAUUGUUGUUUCCAACUGCCUACUUGUGUAUUGCUAUUUUGUUUAAUUUGCAACAUUAUCUGCAGUGAUGCACCGGAAGAAUGGACCUCUGGAGUGUCCACCCUUACGAUAUCCCAUGAAGACCAGAACUUCUCUGCCAUGUCAUCAAGCAGUCAUUAGCAUGUGAGCUUUCAAGGGCUGGUCGAGGCUCGUGUAGACGUGAAGUGGCAAGUCAUUCUUCAGUCCCUGGAGGCCACAAUGGAGUGUUUCCCGUGACUCAGACCAAGAGAAAACCCAACGAGUUCCCCUUUUCUUCAACCAAAUCAUGGAAGUCACAAGGUGUUGUGGUGGGAUUUGAACCCGCGUUUCCACAUUUGGAAUGCAGAACCAGGAUGCCACCAUUCCUGUUCUUUUUAUCGCAACGAUACUGGCCUGGCACCACUGUUCUGAACACCGGAGGAGCGUGAACAGCAUUGUCGCAGGAGAAGGAGGACCUGUUUAACUGAGCUCCUGUUGCAGGAACUGAUGAUUAAAUCUGCUUCAUUUGGAGUGAAGAGGUUUGGAGAGAAUUCCGAAUGUCCCUCAGCAUCAGCUGUCAGAGUUAAAGUCAUAAAACCUGGACUGAUCACACUGCUGUAACAACGUCAGUAACAAGCAAAUCUGCUUAAGAUGUAAGCAUAUGGGCAUGUUAAUCUGGAGGCAUUCAGCCAAUAAAGUCACGUUCAACAUUUG